ensembl:piRNA 21ur-10098 ncRNA
UGCUUGAAUUUCUAGUGGCGC